rnacentral:tRNA from 1 species
GGGCCGUUAGCUCAGUUGGUAGAGCACCUGACUUUUAAUCAGGUUGUCAUAGGUUCGAUCCCUAUACGGCUCA